rnacentral:rRNA from 1 species
GAACGCGGGCGGCGUGGAUUAGGCAUGCAAGUCGAACGCGAAAGAGGGGGCAACUCCUCGAGUAGAGUGGCGAACGGGUGAGUAACGCGUGAAGAACCUGCCUUCAUCAGGGGGAUAACACUCCCAACGGGGUGCUAAUACCGCAUGAGACCACGGAGUCGCAUGGCUCUGAGGUCAAAGGUGGCCUCUAUUUAUAAGCUACCGGAUGAAGAUGGCUUCGCGUCCCAUUAGCUAGUUGGCGGUGUAAGAGACCACCAAGGCGACGAUGGGUAGCUGGUCUGAGAGGAUGGUCAGCCACACUGGGACUGAGAUACGGCCCAGACUCCUACGGGAGGCAGCAGUCGAGAGGCUUCGGCAAUGGGGGAAACCCUGACCGAGCGACGCCGCGUGGAGGAUGACGGCCUUCGGGUUGUAAACUCCUUUUGUUCGGGAAGAAACGCGAUCAGGUGAACAAUCUGGUCGCCUGACGGUACCGGACGAAUAAGCUCCGGCUAACUCCGUGCCAGCAGCCGCGGUAACACGGGGGGAGCAAGCGUUGUUCGGAAUCACUGGGCGUAAAGGGCGUGUAGGCGGUCAGGUAAGUGGGAUGUGAAAUGCCCCGGCUCACCCGGGGAUCUGCAUUCCAAACUGCUUGGCUUGAGUAUGGGAGAGGAUGAGGGAAUUCCUGGUGUAGCGGUGAAAUGCGUAGAUAUCAGGAGGAACACCGGUGGCGAAAGCGCUCAUCUGGCCCAAUACUGACGCUGAUGCGCGAAAGCUAGGGGAGCAAACGGGAUUAGAUACCCCGGUAGUCCUAGCCGUAAACGGUGAGCACUAGGUGUUGGAGGCAUCGACCCCUCCAGUGCCGCAGCUAACGCAUUAAGUGCUCCGCCUGGGGAGUACGGCCGCAGGUUGAAAC